UACGGGGGGGGCAAGCGUUGUUCGGAAUUACUGGGCGUAAAGGGCUCGUAGGCGGCCAACUAAGUCGGAUGUGAAAUCCCCAGGCUCAACUUGGGAACUGCAUCCGAUACUGGAUGGCUUGAAUUCGGGAGAGGGAUGCAGAAUUCCAGGUGUAGCGGUGAAAUGCGUAGAUAUCUGGAGGAAUACCGGUGGCGAAGGCGGCAUCCUGGACCGACAUUGACGCUGAGGAGCGAAAGCCAGGGGAGCGAACGGG
rnacentral:rRNA from 1 species